CAAGGAGUUAGUUUUGUCCGUAUACACGCACCUUGGCAAGUCCUCAGUCGAGAAGCAGAACUCCUUAAAAUAAAAAUGCCCACUAAAAAGAUGUAUGAAAUCACAGAAGAAAAGGGAAUACUCAAAACAUUAAAUGAAAUAUGGUGCAAAUUGACUGAACCUCUGCAACCCCAGGUGCCACAGCAAGAAAAUACCAAGAUGAAAACCUUGUCCUACCCAUUUUCCAGAGAGAAAAUAUAUUUGUAUAACAUCAAAGACAAAGAUACCUUUUUUGACAAUGCAACCCGCAGCCGAAUAGUAAG